rnacentral:rRNA from 1 species
GAUGAACGCUGGCGGCGUGCCUAAUACAUGCAAGUCGAGCGAACAGACGAGGAGCUUGCUCCUCUGACGUUAGCGGCGGACGGGUGAGUAACACGUGGAUAACCUACCUAUAAGACUGGGAUAACUUCGGGAAACCGGAGCUAAUACCGGAUAAUAUAUUGAACCGCAUGGUUCAAUAGUGAAAGACGGUUUUGCUGUCACUUAUAGAUGGAUCCGCGCCGCAUUAGCUAGUUGGUAAGGUAACGGCUUACCAAGGCGACGAUGCGUAGCCGACCGGAGAGGGUGAUCGGCCACACUGGAACUUAGACACGGUCCAGACUCCUACGGGAGGCAGCAGUAGGGAAUCUUCCGCAAUGGGCGAAAGCCUGACGGAGCCACGCCGCGUGAGUGAUGAAGGUCUUCGGAUCGUAAAACUCUUUUAUUAGGGAAGAACAAAUGUGUAAGUAACUAUGCACUUCUUGACGGUACCUAAUCAGAAAGCCACGGCUAACUACGUG